GCGGAUCCAAUCUAUACAGUUUUCACUUAACCCCAAUUUGGAUAUACCGUUUACCCAUUCUCUCCGUUACCCACUCUUACAAACCCUAAAGCAUCACCACUACUGCCACCGGUCAUCGCCACAUUUUAUCUACAAACCCUAAGCAACCACUCUUACAAACCCUAAAGCACCACCACCACUGCCACCGGUUAGCGUCGCAUUCUAUCUACAAACCCUAUGCAACUAUUACCAUGUCCAUAGUUUAUCGCCGCUCUUCAUUGUCAUUGUCAUACUAUCUUCACCACCACAGAAAACCCACUAGUCCCUUAUCUCUCAAAUCCUAGCACUGAUGACCCUCUUUUGCCGCCUUGAUCAUCUUUUAUCGUUGCCACCUUAACCACCAUAGGCUAUUGUUUUCCCUACACUCCUAAUCGAAACUUGGACCGGAUAAAAAGGCAUUUUCUUUUGGUUUAACUCAAUGGUUGGUUCCAUGGAUUAUUUCAUGAAGGAGGAAGUAAUAGUCACACAUUUUUGUUAGGAGAAAAAAGAUAGGGAGAUGAAGAGAAAGGUGGAUUCGGGGACAUUUUGUGAGGUUUUUUUGUUGGUUUUUUCACCAGAUUAAGUGUCUGUUUAAACUGGUAACUUUGCAUCCCUUAUACUCUGUUAGUUCACUUCAAACUUUUAUUGAAGAUGAUUAUGUUUAAGCUAGUAAGAUACCUGAUGCAUCUGUGGAAAUUAUUGUAUGGUAUGCCAAUUAGUUUAUUUUACUUUUAUAUGGAAUUAUAGAAUUUUAUCAUUAAAGUUGACCGGUUUAUUGAAUUUGUGAUUGUUUAUAACUAUUUUGAUGUUGUCAAGGAAAGAUUAACAAUCAGGUUGGAUAGAUGUAGUGGAUCUUAGGGUUAACCAGAAGAAGAAAAUAUCAACAGUUGGGUUAGAUUGAUGCAAUGUAUAUGUCUCUUAAUUACGUUUAUAGCUAAUUAAAGUACCUCAACUAACCUUAUCAUCAAAACGAGCUUAUUAGUUUAUAGAUAAUUAACCUCAUAACCUAUCUCAGAUUUAUAAUUUUCUCUUCGUAUAGCUUUGUGUCCUUGAGUUGUUUUUGGAGAAACUACUAAAGUAAAAAAGCAAAAUUGUAUGCUUGUGGGUCAUGCUUUAGAGAUGUUAGCGAUUUAGAUUUUAGAAGCACACAAGCCAACAUUUCCAUUUUCACAUGUAUUUUUAAAGAGAAAAAGAUAGUGUUUUAGAAGGAAAAAAGCAACAUGAAAUGUUUGAUCAGUUAUGUCUUUGCUGAAAAAUUGAUGAUAAAUAAUGUCAUGUCCUAUGCUUUGCUACUUUUUUUUACACCAUUAUCAUUUUAUAUGAACCUAAUUUGCAUCAUUCUUUUCUUUGAACUGAAUACAACCGUAAACAUGGCAAUUACGACAUUGAAUUUAUAUUUGUUCAGAAAGUCUGAACUACUCAAAUAGUCAAACAACUUUAUUGAGGUCUCUGAUUUUUUUUCUUGGAUAUUGGUUUUGUUUAGUAUAAUUGACUUCAGAGAAAGAGAAAGAUAGGUUACAGCUCCUUUUGUUUGUGUGUGUUACUUUCUUUGAGAAAAUGAUGUCACAUGAAGGGAAGGAAAACAUAGUUUUUUUUUUUCUUUUUUGUGAAAAAUUUGAAUAUGUUAAAUGGUUAUUUUUUAUUUGACUGAAA
rnacentral:lncRNA from 1 species